rnacentral:lncRNA from 1 species
GGUUAAAAACAAGUAGAGGUUAGUUAUACAAUAAUUAGUAUAUAAUGACAUUUAGGCAACCUGACGUCACUCUGUUUUGCCAAUUGCAAACAUGUUACUUUCCAUUGUUAGAUAGAGGAUUGCUGAAAUGUUAUCUAAAAGUCCAAACAUGUACAUGAAUUGCAAAUGCAGCUUUUGAUUUGUGGUCUUGUUUUUAGCUUGACCUUAUAAUGAAAUCUAUUUUUAUUUUUAAGUUUAUUUUUUUAAGACAAGAUCUUGCUUUGUCACCCAGGCUGGAGUGCAGUGGCACAAUCUCGGCUCACUGCAAUCUCUGCCCCCCAGAUUCAAGCGAUUCACUUGCCUCAGCCUCCCUAGUAGCUGAGAUCACAGGCAUGUGCCACCACGCCCGGCUAAUUUUUGUAUUUUUUUAAUAGAGACAGGGUUUCUCCAUGUUGACCAUGCUGGUUGCGAACUCCUUACUUCAGGUGAUCUACCCGCCUCGGCCUCCCAAAGUGCUGGGAUUACAGGCAGGAGCCACCAUGCCCUGCCUUAAUGAAAUCUAUUCUUAUUGAAGAGAGUGGAGAAUGUGUUUUAUAAGGAAAAUUGUAGCAAAUAUUAAAUGCCACAAAGUUGUCUCAGUAUCGCUAAGAUAAUUAAGGUCUUUGAGAAAUACAAGUAAGAAUUUAAAGAGUAGAGUAAAGAAACAGACUAAAGUAAGCACAAAUGUUUCCUUACAGUCAAGGGAUUUGUACAGCCCUGUAGGAGACACCUCCAGAGAAAGUAACAGCUCUCAAUUGAUUAGCUGAGCCAGAAUUAGCUUCUGUUACUUACAACUGUGAGUCCUGACUGAAAACAUAUUUCUUCCUUUGAAGAACUGUUACCUGUAACAGGCUAAGAAGAAUAUUAAGAAUAAACAGAUGCUUUUACAGCUCGCCUUGGCGGGAAGAUCUGGCACAAAUGAAGUAUCUAUAAGGAGCAGCAGAGUCAAGGUGGUGAUCCUGUG